rnacentral:ncRNA from 2 species
CAGUAAAUAUCGGGGUGGUUACACAAACCGUGUGAUCUGAGAGAUACCCGCAGAACCUGAUCUGGCUAAUACCAGCGUAGGGAGGUGAUAAAGUAUUUUUU